GACGAACGCUGGCGGCGUGCCUAAUACACGCCAGUUGAGCGCUGAAGGUUGGUACUUGUACCAACUGGAUGAGCAGCGAACGGGUGAGUAACGCGUGGGGAAUCUGCCUUUGAGCGGGGGACAACAUUUGGAAACGAAUGCUAAUACCCCAUAAAAACUUUAAACACAAGUUUUAAGUUUGAAAGAUGCAAUUGCAUCACUCAAAGAUGAUCCCGCGUUGUAUUAGCUAGUUGGUGAGGUAAAGGCUCACCAAGGCGAUGAUACAUAGCCGACCUGAGAGGGUGAGCGGCCACAUUGGGACUGAGACACGGCCCAAACGGCUACGGGAGGCAGCAGGAGGGAAUCUUCGGCAAUGGGCGAAAGUCUGACCGAGCAACGCCGAGUGAGGGAAGAAGGGUUUCGGAUCGGAAAACUCGGUUGGUAGAGAAGAACGUUGGUGAGAGUGGAAAGCUCAUCAAGUGACGGUAACUACCCAGAAAGGGACGGCUAACUACGUG
rnacentral:rRNA from 1 species